GAUGAAGAACGUAGCGAAAUGCGAUACUUGGUGUGAAUUGCAGAAUCCCGUGAACCAUCGAGUCUUUGAACGCAAGUUGCGCCCGAAGCCAUCAGGUUGAGGGCACGUCUGCCUGGGCGUCACAUAUCGUUGCCCAAUGCCUAUUGCAGUGCAAUAGGAAUUUCUAGGGCGAAUGAUGGCUUCCCGUGAGCGUUGUUGCCUCGCGGUUGGUUGAAAAUCGAGUCCUUGGUAGGGUGUGCCAUGGUAGAUGGUGGUCGAGUUAGAACGAUACCGAUCAUGUGCAUGCUCCCCAAAAUAUGGCCUCUAUGACCCACACGCGUCUUUUGACGCUCAUGACGAGACCUCAGGUCAGGCGGGGCUACCCGCUGAGUUUAAGCAUAUAAUAAGCGGAGGA
rnacentral:misc_RNA from 1 species